rnacentral:rRNA from 1 species
UGGGGAAUAUUGGACAAUGGGCGCAAGCCUGAUCCAGCCAUGCCGCGUGAGUGAUGAAGGCCCUAGGGUUGUAAAGCUCUUUCACCGGUGAAGAUAAUGACGGUAACCGGAGAAGAAGCCCCGGCUAACUUCGUGCCAGCAGCCGCGGUAAUACGAAGGGGGCUAGCGUUGUUCGGAUUUACUGGGCGUAAAGCGCACGUAGGCGGACUUUUAAGUCAGGGGUGAAAUCCCGGGGCUCAACCCCGGAACUGCCUUUGAUACUGGAAGUCUUGAGUAGGGUAGAGGUGAGUGGAAUUCCGAGUGUAGAAGUGAAAUUCGUAGAUAUUCGGAGGAACACCAGUGGCGAAGGCGGCUCACUGGACCAUUACUGACGCUGAGGUGCGAAAGCGUGGGGAGCAAACAGG